AGGAUUAAUCAUCAUUUUUAGUUUUCUUCAAGCUGACAACAGCUUUUCCGUUUACCCGACCUUCUCCCAGGUCACGAAGGGCCUGAGAUGUUUC
rnacentral:antisense_RNA from 1 species